rnacentral:rRNA from 1 species
UACAGAGGGGGCGAGCGUUGUUCGGAAUUACUGGGCGUAAAGUGUGCGCAGGCGGCCGCGCAAGUCGAGUGUGAAAGCCCCGGGCUUAACUUGGGAAUUGCGCUCGAAACUACGUGGCUGGAGUAUGGCAGAGGAAGGUGGAAUUCCACGUGUAGCGGUGAAAUGCGUAGAGAUGUGGAGGAACACCGAUGGCGAAGGCAGCCUUCUGGGCCAAUACUGACGCUCAUGCACGAAAGCGUGGGGAGCAAACAGG